rnacentral:rRNA from 1 species
AGACUUUUUAUUUGAUGCUUGCAUCUUUUAAAAAGUUGAGUGGCGAACGGGUGAGUAACACGUGGGUAACCUGCCUUAAAGUGGGGGAUAACACUUGGAAACAGGUGCUAAUACCGCAUAACCAUCAAAACCACCUGGUUUUGAUGUUAAAGAUGGUUCUGCUAUCGCUUUAAGAUGGACCCGCGGCGUAUUAGCUAGUUGGUGAGGUAACGGCUUACCAAGGCAAUGAUACGUAGCCGAACUGAGAGGUUGAUCGGCCACAUUGGGACUGAGACACGGCCCAAACUCCUACGGGAGGCAGCAGUAGGGAAUCUUCCACAAUGGACGAAAGUCUGAUGGAGCAACGCCGCGUGAGUGAAGAAGGUUUUCGGAUCGUAAAACUCUGUUGUCAGAGAAGAACGUGUGUGAGAGUAACUGUUCACGCAGUGACGGUAUCUGACCAGAAAGUCACGGCUAACUACGUGCCAGCAGCCGCGGUAAUACGUAGGUGGCAAGCGUUGUCCGGAUUUAUUGGGCGUAAAGGGAACGCAGGCGGUCUUUUAAGUCUGAUGUGAAAGCCUUCGGCUUAACCGAAGUCGGGCAUUGGAAACUGGGAGACUUGAGUGCAGAAGAGGAGAGUGGAACUCCAUGUGUAGCGGUGAAAUGCGUAGAUAUAUGGAAGAACACCAGUGGCGAAAGCGGCUCUCUGGUCUGUAACUGACGCUGAGGUUCGAAAGCGUGGGUAGCAAACAGGAUUAGAUACCCUGGUAGUCCACGCCGUAAACGAUGAAUGCUA